CCUACGGGAGGCAGCAGUGGGGAAUUUUGGACAAUGGGCGAAAGCCUGAUCCAGCAAUGCCGCGUGCAGGAUGAAGGCCUUCGGGUUGUAACCUGCUUUUGUACGGAACGAAAAGUCUCGGGAUAAUACCCUGGGACCAUGACGGUACCGUAAGAAUAAGCACCGGCUAACUACGUGCCAGCAGCCGCGGUAAU
rnacentral:rRNA from 1 species